rnacentral:lncRNA from 1 species
GCCAAAGUGAGGAAAUGAGAUGUUUUCAUUAGUCUGAACCACCUUCUAACUCAUCUUCCCAGUGAAUCUUACUGAGUACAUAUGAAUACACUCUGGCCUUAGCCCUGGAGAAGACUGAGUCUUGUAGGAGGUGCAGAUAAGAAAACACCACUACUACACAGUAUGGUAACAUCAUGCUCUGGACUCUUAGGUUGUGCGACAGAAGAGAAGUGAUCGAGAUGAGCAUAAUGUCAUCACCAUGAGCCCCUCCGAAGUAAAGUGUGUCCUCUAGACAGUGGCAGGAGGGAAGUCCGUGUUUUGAAGCAGGAGAACAAUUUCCUAUCCUUGCUGGCUUGCAGAGGGCAGGGGCACAGGACAAG